rnacentral:lncRNA from 1 species
GAUUUUCCAACACUCCACAAUGAAAGAAUGAUCUAUGUCUAGUUGUGACACAAAGAAACAGAAUGAUGCUAUGGUAUACAUACAUUAACGAGGAGGGUUGGCCAACCGGGUAACGGAAAGUACCCAAUCCCACAGCCCAAAAACCGGUUGCGUAGUGGGUACCUGUUUUCGACAAUGGUUCGAGUGGCAGACGAGUUCCAUAAAAAUUAGAACCCGAUGGUUACUCUACCCAUUUGGGUAUUAUGUCUAUGAUUCCUCCUAGGAUUUUCAUGUUUAAUUGAUACAAAGGGCUUCUUCCAUCACCAAGCUUUUCCCAUUUCUCUCCGUUUCAACAAGAUGCUGCUAUAUAAAGGACUGUUCUUCGAUUUGGGUUGUCCUCAAUGUACUACACAACUAUGGUUCUUCCAAUGAAUCCUAUGUAACAAAAUUUACAGACAAAUCAACAACCAACAAUAUCAGAAGUCAAUAUCUAUCAAGAAGUAUGAUUCAAAAAGAUAGCUGCGAAUUGUGAAGACUACCGACUCUAUAUCGAGCUGGGUUGUGCAUCGAACAUCGUGUAGUUGCUGAGAAUGGAGUUCUAUAAGGCCUGAAUGUGAGCAAGAUCAUUGUAUCAGAAGAAGUUGACAAAGGAGAGAAACCAAAACAAAAGCAGGAAGAGUGAAAUCUCAAAGGCACCUCAUUUACAAGCUGGAAGCCUGGAAUCAUUCUUAGGGUCACUUUUCAAGAGCACAUACACACUUCUAGAGACUUCGGUGCAACUUUACUGGAAUUUCACAACCCACAUGAAUGGAUAUCAGAGAUUAAUCAGUUGCAACCAAUCAAACAUAAAGGUCAUGUUGCUAGGGAUCUAAUCUCGGCGAAGAACCUCUUGACAGAAAAUGCACAAACCUUGUAGCUUUAUGUACGAUAUUUCCAUAAGCCUAAGUCUUGAAACCAGAAAUAGCAUGAAUGCUAAUCUCCAACAAGUCGCCUCCUUGAUGUACGCUACAACACAAGAGUCCCGAAAUUACAUAAGACUGUCAGCCUGUUAUUUUUAUGUUAAAUUCAUAUUGUGAAAUGUUCAGAAGAAACGUCCCAUGUCAAAAACCACAACUUGAAGUAAAAACUAAUAAACAAUGCAUCCUAAACCGUCCUUGUAUAACUUUUGAUACUUCAUGACAGCUAGAACAUUAC